UANAACAACUCUCAGCAACGGAUAUCUUGGCUCUUGCAACGAUGAAGAACGCAGCGAAAUGCGAUACGUAGUGUGAAUUGCAGAAUUCCGCGAAUCAUCGAGUUUUUGAACGCAAGUUGCGCCCGAGGCUUGUCCGAGGGCAUUUCCGCUAGAGCGUCACC
rnacentral:rRNA from 1 species